rnacentral:lncRNA from 1 species
CUUUAAUAAAAGUUCUUAUCAACUACACUGAGUUUAAAGUCUAUCUGGCAAUUUGAUUGCUAAUCAUUUUGUGGUUUGUUUUUUUCUUUAAUAAAAGUUCUUAUCAACUACACUGAGUUGAUAGUCUAUCUGGUCAUUUGAUUGCUAAUCAUUUUGCAUGAGUAGUAAUAAUAGUAGUCGUAAAUUACAGAUAACAUAAAUAGUAUGGAAAUAAAUAAACUCUAAAUUUUGUUAAAUUUUGCAAGUAAUAAACUUUAAGUAACAGACGAUUCAUCAAAUUUAUAUUUAUGAUGAGGUUAAAUUCUAAAUAUAUAAUGUAACAAAUGUUCUUGAAACGACUUUUUAGGUCCCAUGUGUAACUCAAUUCGUGUUUUGCCGGGAUAUCAGAGAUUCUUUCAUUUCAAAAUAUCAUGUACGGACUUAUAAACUAUAUAAUUAACAUUGUGUAACCCGUGUAGCACACGGGUACUUAACUAUAUAUAAUUAGCAUGGGCUGAACUUGAAGUGAUAACACGUAGGUAUAUUUUUGUCGUAGUGGGCCUUCGGGCGGCCUUUUGAUACUGGGCUUUGGCUACUCAUUUAUUUAUAAUUUUUUUAUUUCAGUAUCAUUUUUAUACGUUGAUAUUGAAAAGUUUUUUCAUUACAAAGUUCAUCUCAAUGCCAGUAGAUAUUAUAUGUUUGUGUUAAGCCACCCGCGAAACUCGCGGGUUCUUAGACUAGUAAAAUAUAAAAGCAAAUGCGACCAAGUUUAGAAUAUUAGAAAAUCGGUUUUAUACUGACAUUGAAAUCAAAUGGUUGUAAAUUGCUUAUGAGAGAAUGAAGAAAUUUUUUUUUUUUGAGCGGCAAAUUUGGAUCAUUGACGGAUCACUAGAGUAUCAUCGUGCCACUAGCGAAACCACCCGAUCAUAUCCAUCUCCACUAGGCAAUAAUGCCUACACACCAAUUCAGGAGUAAACCCAAUAAAUUUGGAAAAAACCCUCUUAUGGGAAUCGAACCCAUGACCUAAUGGUCAUAAGCCUUAUCCUAUCACCAAGAUGCCACUAGGCUAUAGGCUAUAAAUUGCUUAUGAGAAAAUGAAGAAAAUAAUAAAUAAAUCUGAAAGAAGUAAUUGAAUUAUUAAUGUAUUUAAUUAUUAUAUUGCAAUGAAGUUAAUAAUUCACGUCUUUAAUUGUUGCUCAAUGUAGAGGAAGGAAAAAAAAUGCAUUAGAAUUUUGAGUGCAAUCAAGUUUUGUGACAUUAUUUAAUGGACUGCUUAUGGGCCUUAACUAAUUAAAUGGAAGAUAUGAAGUGAUAAGAAUCAAGUGCGUUGCACGUUGAAAAAAAAAGUGGGUCAAACAGCUACAAAGGUGAGAAUUUUUUACGGAAAGAUAUAUUCGACAAUAGGGGGUGUCGCAACUUUUAAGAAAAGAAAGGAGGCAGACGGCUGAAGGCAAGGCAGGAGGGACGUACGGAAGGCCACCUUCCACGGUUCAAGGCAUGAGCAACUAGGUGAAAUUUUCCAAGUGAAAGGUUCAUAGGGUUUGACACUUUUCUUAGUUUUAUUUAUUAUUGGAUUUGUUUUUAACAUUGAUAAUGUUUUAUAAACAAUUUGAUUUGUUGCUUGCUCUGUUGAUGACAAGACCUUGUAGCUUGUUGGGUGGCAUAGAGUAG